rnacentral:rRNA from 1 species
CCUACGGGAGGCAGCAGUGGGGCAUAUUGCACAAUGGGGGAAACCCUGAUGCAGCGACGCCGCGUGAGUGAAGAAGUAAUUCGUUAUGUAAAGCUCUAUCAGCAGGGAAGAAAAUGACGGUACCUGAGUAAGAAGCCCCGGCUACCUACGUGCCAGCAGCCGCGGUAAUACGUAGGGGGCAAGCGUUAUCCGGCUUUACUGGGUGUAAAGGGAGCGUAGACGGCAGUGCAAGUCUGGAGUGAAAGGCGGGGGCUCAAACCCCGGACUGGUCUGGCAACUGUACGGCUGGAGUGCAGGAGAGGUAAGUGGAAUGCCUGGUGUAGCGGGGAAAUGCGUAGAUAUUAGGAGGAAAACCAGUUGCGAAGGAGGCUUAAUGGACUGUAAAUGACGUUGAGGCGCGAAAGCGUGGGGAGCGAACAGGAUUAGAUACCCCAGUAGUC